rnacentral:lncRNA from 10 species
UGGGACACAAUGCGAUAUUACCUGACCUCAGGUAAUCAAUACCGUGUGUAACCUGCCUGCAUUUUACAGAAUUUUGAGGCACAGAUGUGCCUUUGGGAAAGUUCUCGGUUAUACCUCUCAGUUCUGUCACUCAUGCCUCGGGGCCAAGCCUUACUUUAGCAAGGAGAAUUUCAUAGAAGAGGUGCAGUUAAAACACAUGGGUUGUGGGAGUCAUAUGGAAUGGGCUUAGAAUAUUAGUUUACCUAACACAUUCUGUAUUGAACAAAUCGCUCACGUUCUUAGUUUCAGUUUUUCCAUUUGUGAAGUGAAGGUUGAUGUGACAAUUAGCAUGGAAUCCCUGUCAAUUGCCUGGUCCAUGGUAAGAUGUGUGUGUGUGUGUGUGUGUGUGUGUGUCUGUCUGUCUGUCUGUCUGUCUGUCUCUCUCUCCCUUUAAGCAUUGCCUUUUCAUGUUCAGGGGCUUGUUAUAGAUUGACACCAUUCUAUUACUUCCUUCUUACAUGUAUCUGGCUUCAGUAACUUCUUUUUCAGUCUGUGAUAUGUGUGUGUGUGUGUGUGUGUGUGUGUGUGUGUGUGUGUGCAUGUGCGUGUUGGGGGAAGGGUUGGACUAGGAAGGGAUGGAUAGUGGGAAUUUAUGCUGUGGGAAGCUACUCCAUCACAGUUCUGAUGAGUCCAGCAGCCUAUUCUCUGAGUGAUCCAGGCAGCAUUCAUUAGCCCCACCAGCCAAGAGGGUCAGCGUGGCUCUGGAAGCAAAGGAGGAGAAGGCGGCAAUUUCUAGCAGAGCAGAAGUGGUGGCAGAAGGAUCACCUGUCUGUGGAGACCCUGAAAUGAUGCAAUUACAGGACCAGCAUAGGAAGGGACAGUCAGACCAUGGCCUUCGUGGUGCAAGGUGGACCUCACGGCUGAGCUGAUAUUCCAUGGCUGGUGUAUCAAUUGAAGCAUUUAUUGGGCAACCACCACAUGUCAGGCACCAGGUUACCUGAUGCAGCCGGCUCAGGAAGCAGCAGUGACAAGAACGAGACACUGGCAGCUCUGGGCAGAA